rnacentral:lncRNA from 1 species
GCCCAGGAAGCUCCGCCACUGGCAGCUGGGUACCGAUUCAUCACCGACGUGUUUAAAGUAUCCGUGUGUGUGCCUCCAAAAACCGUUUGUGGAGACAGCAGAGUGCCCGAGGCAGGAAACCGCUCCGGCCUGGAGGCGCCCCUGCCCGGACUCGUGGACUGCAGCGCUGUCCCGCUCGGAAGCCGAUCCUGGGAGUCCGAGCGGGGCCGCGGGGCCUGCGUGGCAGCCGAGUCGAGGGCUUCGGGCCGCGGGGCUGUGGAGCGCCCCUUGGCGCUGGGCCGCCGGCAGCCGUGAGCGCAUCACUGCAUUUCCCUGGAGGAAUUCCUCAUCUGUUGAAUGAGGGAGUUGAGGCGGACACGCUGGGAAAUGGCUUCGAGCUCACACACUGAUUUUCGUGAGUGGAAAGAGAAGCCCUUUCUUAGGCGUCUUCCAUACCACUGCAUGUUCCAGGGUCCUCCCUGGGCUCUCUGUCUCCCACGCCACCGCGAGCACGGCCUAAGCGGGCGAGCGAAGGCGCGACGGCGCCGAGAGCCGGCUGUGGUGGGUGCCGGGCGCGUCACCGCGGGCUGGCGGGGGAGGGGACGCUGGGAAGCUCUCCAGAAAGAGGAGCCGCCACCGAGCAAAUUCCCAUCUGCCACGCACCGCAGAGCCUCGCCCUCCGCCGCCAGCAUUUUCUUUCUUUGUUCUCCUAGCCCUACAAACGCUGGGUUUCCUUUCUCAUUCGUGGACUUUUUUCCCUGGAUCCUUCUUACUGCUCCUACCCUGUGGCCGCACGUCUGGCAGAUGCGCGGCGGGCGCUGCCUGAACCCCCGAAUCCUCACAAGCCUCUGUGCAGCGGCCACGGCCCUCAGCUAGCGGCGGGGAGACUGAAGCCGCAGGGUCAGGGUUAGUUGCCACAUGUUUUAAAUUCCUAUCCAAACUUCCAUUAUAAUUGUUUUUAUUUAUUUAUUCAUCUAUUUUUUGAGACAGGGUCCCGCUCUGUCGCCCAGGCUGGAGUGCAGUGGAGCGAUCACGGUUCACUGCAGCCUCCCCACCUCCGACUCCAGCGAUCCUCUCGCCUCAGCCUCCCGAGUAGCUGGGACCACAGGUGCAUGCCACCAUGCCCGGCUAAUUGUUAAUAUUUUUUUUGGUAGAGAUGGGGCCUCCCUCUGUUGCCUAGGCUGGCCUUGAACUCCUGGGCUCAAGCGAUCUUCCAGCUUCGGCCUCCCAAAGUGCUGGCAUUACAGGCGUGAGUCACCCCGCCUGGCAAGAAUUGUUGUUUUGAAACUAACUGAGGUUCUCCCAUCAAUGGAUUUAAAUUGUUACUUUUUAAUGAUUUUUUUUUAAGUAGCCAAAUACUAAAUGUAUGUAAUUUGAAUGUGGAGAGAAGAUAAUGCAUGAUUCAAAUUAUGUGGCUGAUCAUGGGUGAUACACUGGGAUAUAGUUGUAAAAUAAGUAGUUCUCCUAGGGAAAAUAUUAAAGUACAACUGUGUUGGGUUUAAUAUCAGAAAAAUGUAAUUAAAAACAUUUCCUGCCAAUAAUUUCCAAUCUGAUACUUAAACAAAACAAAACAAUAAAAGUUUCCCAUCUC